GACAGAGGGUGCAAACGUUGUUCGGAAUUACUGGGCGUAAAGCGCGUGUAGGCGGCUAAGUAAGUCGGGCGUGAAAUCCCACGGCUCACCGUGGAAGUGCACUCGAAACUGCAUAGCUAGAGUCCUGGAGAGGAAGGUGGAAUGCUUGGUGUAGAGGUGAAUUCGUAGAUAUCAAGCGGAACACCGGUGGCGAAGGCGGCCUUCUGGACAGUGACC
rnacentral:rRNA from 1 species